CUCCGCUGGAGCCGUCGGGAGAGCGACGCCGCUGCUGUCAGCGACGCGUGCGUCGGUAAUUUCCGCCAUCCGUUGCUCCGAUUCACCCCGAAUCAGACCCGACGCCCCCAACACUCACUCGAUUCUCCCCGCAAAUUUAUCGAUGAUAGCGUUUGACGUAAAGAUGCAGCAGUUUCAAAUCGAGAUUGGUUGGAGGGGGUGUAUACCUUCACUAAUCUGAGACGGUCAGAUUGGUAAUGGAGACUAGCAGUGGAUGGAAAAGAGUGUGUGGCUUGAUUCUCUUUCUCGGUCCUGUUCAAGAAGUUCAAUGCGUUUGGCGAUUUGAUUUAGAAGUAAAAACGUGUACAGUGAUAGAGUUCGCAAGAAUACCUUGAGUAGGAAUUUGAAGAGAAGUUCUGUUUUGCUGCAGGGAUGGGAAGAAAGAAACGAAGAGUGAAAUCUGUAUUAUAGAGGAGUAGUAGAUUUGGUGGAGAGAUUGGAGAGAUUUGGGGAGAGAUUCAUGAGAGAGAGACGGUUGCAGCAUCGUGUGUUGGGGAGUGGGAGUUUCGGUUUCUUUCCUUUUUUUUCUCUUUCUGAUUUACUUGAAUUUAUCUGGUAUUUUAUUUAUAGGUUACGGGGAGGAACAAUUCCAUCACGGAGCAGGAAAAUCUACGUAAAAUCUUUAAUUAAAUCUUGAAUUAAAGAUAUUUUAUUUUAGUUGGUUUAGAUUAAUUCACAGCCCGUUGUAUUUUAUUUUAAAUUGUGCAGUCCAUUUAUUUAUCACGGACUGGACCUUUAUUUAA